ACUCGUGCCUACUAGGCAUUCCUCGUUGAAGAGCAAUAAUUGCAAUGCUCUAUCCCCAGCACGACAGGGUUUAACAAGAUUACCCAGACCUCUCGGCCAAGGUGAUGUACUCGCUGCCCUGUCAGUGUAGCGCGCGUGCGGCCCAGAACAUCUAAGGCAUCACAGACCUUUAUUGCCGCGCACUUCCAUCGGCUUGAGCCGAUAGUCCCCCUAAGAAGCCAGCGGCCCGCAAAUGCGGACCGGCUAUUAAGGCGAGGUCUCGUUCGUUAUCGCAAUUAAGCAGACAAAUCACUCCACCAACUAAGAACGGCCAUGCACCACCAUCCAAAAGAUCAAGAAAGAGCUCUCAAUCUGUCAAUCCUUAUUUGUCUGGACCUGUGAGUUUCCCCGUGUUGAGUCAAAUUAAGCCGCAGGCUCCACGCCUGGUGUGCCCUUCCGUCAAUUUCUUUAAGUUUCAGCCUUGACCAUACUCCCCCCAGAACCCAAAAACUUAUUUCUCGUAAGUGCCGAACGGUCAUAAUAGAAACACCGUCCGAUCCCUAGUCGCAUAGUUUAUGGUUAAGACUACGACGUAUCUGAUCGUCUCAUCCCCUAACUUUCGUCCCUGAUUAAUGAAAACAUCCUUGGCGAAUGCUUCGCAGUAGUAGUCUCAGCAAAUCCAAGAAUUCACCUCUGACACUGAAUACUGACGCCCCCGACUAUCCCUAUAAUCAUUACGGCGGUCCUAGAAACCAACAAAAUAGAACCGCACUCCUAUUCUAUUAUCCAUGCUAAUGUAUUCGAGCAAAGGCCUGCUUUGAACACUCUAAUUUUCACAGUAAAAUCCUGGUUCCCCCCACAGCCAGUGAAGCCAUGAAUUCCCCAAAGAAAGUCCAGCCGACCAGUACUCGCGGUGAGGCGACCGGCCAGCCAGACCCAAGUUCAACUACGAGCUUUUAACUGCAACAACUUAAUAUACCUAUGGAGCUGAAUUACCGCGGCUGCUGCACCAGACUUGCCCUCCAAUUGUCCUCGUUAAGGAUUAAUUGUACUCAUUCCAAUUACGAACCCAAAAAGCCCCGUAUCAUAUUAUGUCACUACCUCCCCGUGUCGGAUUGGUAAUUUGCCGCCUGCUGCCUUCCUUGAUUGUAGCCGUUUCUCAGCUCCCUCUCCGGAAUCAACCCUAAUUCCCCUUACCCGUGCCACCAUGGUAGCCACUAUCCUACCAUCGAAAGUUGAUAGGCAGAAAUUUGAAUGAACCAUCGCCGGCGCAAGCCAUGCAUUCGUUAAUAUUAUGAUUCACCAAGGACCCCGAAGGCAUUGGUUUUUAUCUAAUAAAUACACCCCUUCCGAAGUCGAGUUUCAGCAUGUAUUAGCUCUAGAAUACCACAGUAUCCAUGUAGUAAGUACUAUCAAAUAAACGAUAACUGAUUUAAUGAGCCAUCGCAGUUUCACAGUAUAAAUGCUUAUACUUAACAUGCAUGGCUUAAUCUUGAGACAAGCAUAUGACUACUGCAGAAUCAACCAAUA
rnacentral:rRNA from 1 species